rnacentral:tRNA from 1 species
UAGCUCAGUCAGUUGAGCGUGGCGCUAACAAUGCCAAGGUCACGGGUUCGAUUCCCAU